rnacentral:rRNA from 1 species
CCCUUUGGGUGUGACUGCGUACCUUUUGUAUAAUGGGUCAGCGACUUAUAUUCUGUAGCAAGGUUAACCGAAUAGGGGAGCCGGAGGGAAACCGAGUCUUAACCGGGCGUUAAGUUGCAGGGUAUAGACCCGAAACCCGGUGAUCUAGCCAUGGGCAGGUUGAAGGUUGGGUAACACUAACUGGAGGACCGAACCGACUAAUGUUGAAAAAUUAGCGGAUGACCUGUGGCUGGGGGUGAAAGGCCAAUCAAACCGGGAGAUAGCUGGUUCUCCCCGAAAGCUAUUUAGGUAGCGCCUCGUGAAUUCAUCUCCGGGGGUAGAGCACUGUUUCGGCUAGGGGGCCAUCCCGGCUUACCAACCCGAUGCAAACUGCGAAUACCGGAGAAUGUUAUCACGGGAGACACACGGCGGGUGCUAACGUCCGUCGUGAAGAGGGAAACAACCCAGACCGCCAGCUAAGGUCCCAAAGUCAUGGUUAAGUGGGAAACGAUGUGGGAAGGCCCAGACAGCCAGGAUGUUGGCUUAGAAGCAGCCAUCAUUUAAAGAAAGCGUAAUAGCUCACUGGUCGAGUCGGCCUGCGCGGAAGAUGUAACGGGGCUAAACCAUGCACCGAAGCUGCGGCAGCGACACUGUGUGUUGUUGGGUAGGGGAGCGUUCUGUAAGCCUGUGAA